UGGGGAAUAUUGCACAAUGGGCGAAAGCCUGAUGCAGCAACGCCGCGUGAGUGAUGAAGGCCUUCGGGUUGUAAAGCUCUGUCUUUUGGGACGAUAAUGACGGUACCAAAGGAGGAAGCCACGGCUAACUACGUGCCAGCAGCCGCGGUAAUACGUAGGUGGCAAGCGUUGUCCGGAUUUACUGGGCAUAAAGGAUGCGUAGGCGGAUUUUUAAGUGAGAUGUGAAAUACCCGGGCUUAACUUGGGUGCUGCAUUUCAAACUGGGAAUCUAGAGUGCGGGAGAGGAGAAUGGAAUUCCUAGUGUAGCGGUGAAAUGCGUAGAGAUUAGGAAGAACACCAGUGGCGAAGGCGAUUCUCUGGACCGUAACUGACGCUGAGGCAUGAAAGCGUGGGUAGCAAACAGGAUUAGAUACCCUGGUAGUCCACGCCGUAAACGAUGAGUACUAGGUGUAGGAGGUAUCGACCCCUUCUGUGCCGCAGUUAACACAAUAAAUACUCCGCCUGGGAAGUACGAUCGCAAGAUUAAAACUCAAAUGAAUUGACGGGGUC
rnacentral:rRNA from 1 species